CCUACGGGAGGCAGCAGUGGGGAAUAUUGCGCAAUGGGCGAAAGCCUGACGCAGCGACGCCGCGUGAGGGAUGAAGGUCUUCGGAUUGUAAACCUCUGUCAGCAGGGCAGAACGGUCACUGUGCUAAUCAGCAGUGAAUUGACGGUACCUGCCAAGGAAGCACCGGCUAACUCCGUGCCAGCAGCCGCGGUAAUACGGAGGCGGCGAGAGGUAAUCGGAAUUACGGGGCGGACAGCGCUAGUAGGCGGUAUGUCAAGUCAAGGGUGAAAUCCCCGCGCUCAACGUGAGACGUGCAUUUGAAGCUGGCAAACUGGAGUGUGUGAGAGGAUAGUGGAACUGCAGGUGUAG
rnacentral:rRNA from 1 species